rnacentral:rRNA from 1 species
AAGAAUUUGCCGGUGCUUUAGUCUAUUUAGAGGAACCUGCCCCGUGAUCGAUAAGUCCGCGUUAUAAUCUUACUUGUUAUUGUUUAGUGGUUUGUAUACCGCCGUCUUAGGGAAAAUUUGAAGGUAGUUUUCAUUUUCUUGAUUGAGGGGGAUAUCAGGUCAAGGUGCAGCUAAUUAGCAAGAGGAGGUGGGUUACAAUAAUAAGGUUAUUAUGAAUUCUUAUUUGAAAUAUGUGUUGAAGGUGGAUUUAAAGUAAUUGGGGUAAUAAUAUCGGGGUGAGUCUGGCUCUAGAGU